rnacentral:misc_RNA from 1 species
UCCGAUUUGACAUCGGCAGUCUCUCUAGAGUGCCCAACUGAAUGAUGGCAACUAAAGACAGGGGUUGCGCUCGUUGCUGGACUUAACCAAACAUCUCACGACGCGAGCUGACGACAGCCAUGCAGCAUCUGUGGCACACCCUCGAAGGCGACCCGCUUUCACGGGCUUGCAGUGCCAUGUCAAACCUGGGUAAGGUUCUGCGCGUUGCGUCGAAUUAAACCACACGCUCCGCUGCUUGUGCGGGCCCCCGUCAAUUCCUUUGAGUUUUAAGCUUGCGCUCGUAGUUCCCAGGCGGGCCACUUCCCGCGUUAGCUAAGGCCCCCAGCGACGGAGAUUCCGCCACCAAAGGCCGAGUGGCCAUCGUUUACGGCGUGGACUAC